rnacentral:misc_RNA from 1 species
GUGAUUUUUGGCCGACUUGUCCAGCUAAAUAAAUAAUUAAUAUGACAUAAAAUGUAAAGAAAUAUUACUAGAAAUGAAAUUUAAAAUGAGUAGUGAAGGAAAGGAAAGAAAAUGAAGAAAAAGAUCAAUUAUGGCAUCAUGGUGAUGUCAUUAAGGGAGUUGGACCAAUCACACUUAAGCCAUUGUUUGACUAACUAUUAAAAGAGACUAAAUAAGACCAAAAUAACAAAAUUUCAGCAGCCAUCUUCCUCACCCAAAAACGUUACAUUCUCUCCCAAAACCCUAUUCUUCCAUGGGAGCUUAAUGGAAGCUUGAGACAACCCACCAAAUCACCAUAAAACCUUUAGUCAUCUUCACAAAAAUUUGCCCUAGCACCUUGCUAAAGCUUUUGGCAGCCAAGAAGAAGAAAGAAAGUGAAGCUUUCUCAAGCUUGGAUUGGCAUACAACAAGGUUAGUGCACUAUAUACCUAAAACUCCUUAAUUUCAUGAAUGAGCACUUGAAUUUAGUAAGAAAAUGUCAUUUAAAUGAACAAAAUUCAUGUGUGUGUGUACAUGAAUUUUUUGGCUGCCCUAGUGGAGAAAUAGUAAGGAGUGUUUUUGAUGAGCUUGAAGUGAACUAGAAUUAAGUUGAAAGUUUAUAAACAUAAGAAUAAUAAUUUGGUAUGCUAACUAAGGCAUUAUGUAGGAAACAUAAUGUGAAGCUAGGGUUUUGGAGAGUGAAAUUUGGUUUUGGCUUAUGAAGUGGUAAGUGAACAUUAUAAGGGUCAAUUAGUG